CGGAGGGACACCACUUACCACUUCUGUCCAGCCUGAAUAUUUACCAUUAAUGGCAACUCGUUGUACUCUAUCCUUAAGCCAAUGUUCUACCCAAGAACAUUCAUCUUGACCAAUUUCUUUUAGUUUGUAUAUUUACACACACUAUAUGUAUAUAUGCCAGUAUUUAAAAUCUCAUAUUAACCCAUUCUGUGCCAGUCACCGAUAGAUCCCCCAUUAACCCAUUCUGUGCAAGAUCUCCCAUUAACCCAUUCUGUCCUAGUCACUGAUAGAUCCUCCAUUAACCCAUUCUGUGCCAGUCACUAAUAGACUGUGCCAUUCUGUGCCAGUCGCCGAUAGAUCCCCCCCAUUAACCCAUUCUGUGCCAGUCACCAAUAGACUGUGCCAUUCUGUGCCAGUCGCCGAUAAAUCCCCCCAUUAACCCAUUCUGUGCCAGUCACUGAUAAACCCCACAUUAUCCCAUUCUGUGCCAGUCACCAAUAGACCCCCGAUUAACCUAUUCUGUGCCAGUCACCGAUAGAUCCCCGAUUAACCUAUUCUGUGCCAGUCACCGAUAGAUCCCCAUUAACCUAUUCUGUGCCAGUCACCGAUAGAUCCCCCAUUAACCUAUUCUGUGCCUGUCAUCGAUAGAUCCGCCAUUAACCUAUUCUGUGCCAGCCACCGAUAGAUCCCCCAUUAACCUAUUCUAAGCCAGUCACCAAUAGAUCUGCCAUUAACCCAUGCUGUGCCAGAUACCGAUAGAUCUCCCAUUAACCCAUUCUCUGUCAGUCGCCGAUAGAUCUCCCAUUAACCCAUUCUGUGCCAGUCACUGAUAUAUCUCCUAUUAACCCAUUCUGUGCCAGUCAUGAUAGAUCCACCCUUGACCCAUUUUGUGCCAGUCACCGAUAGAGCCCCAUAAACCCAUUCUGUGCCAGAUCUCCCAUUAACC